GCACCCUGCUCCAGAUUAACACUCUGUUCCGAACCGGCACACUUCUCAAGCACCCGAAAAUUCAGCACGUGGUCGCCGCGAGGCCUGCUCCGGCGCCGUGAUCCCACUUCUGAGAUGUAAGAUAUUUCCCAGGAGAACCGAGGGAGGUGCAGAUAGACUCCCGGCGAAGCUGUUCGUGCUGUCAGCUCCGCGUUCCGAAGGAGAGUCCCGGAGCCGGUGUCGCUCGGACCGUUGGGAGCUGCUCCGAAAUUCCCUCUCCACUUGGCAUGCGCGUGAAUACGUAAUGUCCGGCGGGAGCGUAAGCGGUUUCCGGGAGGAACUGUCGCUCCGCCUGUCAUGCGCCAGUAACGCCAUCUGUUCGCACGCCGCGGUGGCGAUUCUUCUUGAUGGUCUACAAAUAAACGCUUGGUUAAGCGAGUGAACGCUUAGUUAAGCAUCUUUCUGCGUCAAGGGAAAUUAGGGCCGUCGAGUAUAUUCGUGCUUGUGAAUAAUUAACUAACUUAUAUCGCUGGCAAGCGAUAGAAUGCUCGCUAGCGGAAUCUACGGUUUUGUUCACUUAUAUCGCUGGCGAGCGAUAGAAUGCUCGCUAGCGGAAUCUACGGUUUUGUUCACUUAUAUCGCUGGCAAGCGAUAGAAUGCUCGCUAGCGGAAUCUAUGGUUUCGUUGAGCACAAAUAUACCGGCUUUUAUAAUUUCACUGACGAUGUUUAAUCAUUGAGCCUACUUACUUUAG